UAGGGAAUCUUGCGCAAUGGGCGAAAGCCUGACGCAGCCAUGCCGCGUGAAUGAUGAAGGUCUUAGGAUUGUAAAAUUCUUUCACCGGGGAAGAUAAUGACGGUACCCGGAGAAGAAGCCCCGGCUAACUUCGUGCCAGCAGCCGCGGUAAUACGAAGGGGGCUAGCGUUGCUCGGAAUUACUGGGCGUAAAGGGCGCGUAGGCGGACAGUUUAGUCAGAGGUGAAAGCCCAGGGCUCAACCUUGGAAUAGCCUUUGAUACUGAUUGUCUUGAGUUCGGGAGAGGUGAGUGGAAUGCCGAGUGUAGAGGUGAAAUUCGUAGAUAUUCGGCGGAACACCAGUGGCGAAGGCGACUCACUGGCCCGAUACUGACGCUGAGGCGCGAAAGCGUGGGGAGCAAACAGG
rnacentral:rRNA from 1 species